GGUGUGUUGUUGUCCUGCUGAAUCCUCGGAAGAACAAACAGCAUCACAUCCUCAACAGCUCCAGGAAGGCGAUCACCACGUUAGCAUUUUCUCCAGAUGGGAGAUACGUGGUUACAGGAGAGAGUGGUCACAUGCCGGCGGUCCGGGUGUGGGAGGUGUCAGAGCGUCUUCAGGUCUCUGAGCUUCAGGAACAUAAAUAUGGCGUCUCCUGCGUCACGUUUUCUCCAAACGGAAAAUACAUCGUCAGUGUCGGUUAUCAACACGACAUGAUGGUCAACGUCUGGAACUGGAAG